rnacentral:rRNA from 1 species
GACAGAGGGUGCAAACGUUGUUCGGAAUUACUGGGCGUAAAGCGCGUGUAGGCGGCCGUGCAAGUCGGGUGUGAAAGCCCUCAGCUCAACUGAGGAAGUGCGCCCGAAACUGCAUGGCUUGAGUACCGGAGAGGAUGGCGGAAUUCCCGAAGUAGAGGUGAAAAUUCGUAGAUAUCGGGAGGAACACCGGUGGCGAAGGCGGCCAUCUGGACGGAUACUGACGCUGAGACGCGAAAGCGUGGGUAGCAAACAGG